rnacentral:rRNA from 1 species
AAAGUUUUUUCGGUUGGGGAUGGGCUCGCGGCCUAUCAGCUUGUUGGUGGGGUAGUGGCCUACCAAGGCGACGACGGGUAGCCGGCCUGAGAGGGCGACCGGCCACACUGGGACUGAGACACGGCCCAGACUCCUACGGGAGGCAGCAGUGGGGAAUAUUGCGCAAUGGGCGAAAGCCUGACGCAGCGACGCCGCGUGGGGGAUGACGGCCUUCGGGUUGUAAACCUCUUUCAGCAGGGACGAAGUUGACGUGUACCUGCAGAAGAAGCGCCGGCUAACUACGUGCCAGCAGCCGCGGUAAUACGUAGGGCGCAAGCGUUGUCCGGAAUUAUUGGGCGUAAAGAGCUCGUAGGUGGCUUGUCGCGUCUGCCGUGAAAGCUCGCAGCUUAACUGCGGGUCUGCGGUGGAUACGGGCUGGCUAGAGGUAGGUAGGGGAGAACGGAAUUCCUGGUGUAGCGGUGAAAUGCGCAGAUAUCAGGAGGAACACCGGUGGCGAAGGCGGUUCUCUGGGCCUUACCUGACGCUGAGGAGCGAAAGCGUGGGGAGCGAACAGGAUUAGAUACCCUGGUAGUCCACGCUGUAAACGUUGGGCGCUAGGUGUGGGGGUCUUCCACGAUCUCCGUGCCGGAGCUAACGCAUUAAGCGCCCCGCCUGGGGAGUACGGCCGCAAGGCUAAAACUCAAAGGAAUUGACGG